CUUCCGAUACCAAUACCGAUGUCUUCACUUCCGUUCUCAUUUAGUACCGGAAUUUUAAAGCAUUAAGUUAUCACGACGGAUAAAGUGGAUAAAGUAUAUAGAACACAUUAAUUGUCACCGAAAAUGCUUGGUAUACAAAACGGCAGCUGAGCUAAAAUUCCGAAUAAAACAUGAGUACAUGACUCAGGCGAUGCUAAUAAACAAAAACGCUA